AUGACCAGGAUGAAGCUUGGAUGAAACUAAGCAGAGGUCCGAACCGACUGAUGUUGAAGAAUCAGCGGAUGAGUUGUGGUUAGGGGUGAAAUGCCACUCGAACCCAGAGCUAGCUGGUUCUCCCCGAAAUGCGUUGAGGCGCAGCCACUGACUGGACAUCUAGGGGUAAAGCACUGUUUCGGUGCGGGCUGCGCGAGCGGUACCAAAUCGAGGCAAACUCUGAAUACUAGAUAUGACCCAAAAAUAACAGGGGUCAAGGUCGGCCAGUGAGACGAUGGGGGAUAAGCUUCAUCGUC
rnacentral:ncRNA from 1 species